rnacentral:tRNA from 1 species
GGUGUGGCUCAACUGGCGAGAGCACCAAGGUGUCAAUCUGGAAGUCGCGAGUUCGAAUUCCGCCGGCCG